UCAAUAAAUUUGGAUUGCCGUGC
rnacentral:piRNA from 1 species